CCUUCAACGAUCUCCUGGUGCUUCACUGUCUCUGCCUUCCUUGUUUGGAUGUUGAUGUUUGCCGUUGCAAGUUUGAUUAAUCUAUACAUGAUUCACGUGAACAUCCAUAGUCUCAUGAUUCACAAGGUUUCACCUGACUUUGUUUACAAGGUAAGUACACAUUUAAUUUAUGGUGCUUAUGUAUAAAUAUGAUUUUAAACAAAUUUCUCUUCUCUGAAUAUAUCCAAUAAUUUGAGGAUGAUAUAUUUGUUCAUACAGUAUUUAGUAUCAGAGCUAAAAUCUCUGGUGGAUGAAUCACUAAGGCCAGGGCCUGAAAGAAGGAGUACGAACAUAAUGCUUAUGGACUGAAGAUGAGAAGUGGGAAGCGGUCUGGUCGUGCUCACAACAAAGAAAGGGAAUCUGAUGAAAGGAACAAUGAAAUACCGAAGAAGAUCGCUCGCACUUACUUGGAAG